GGGGAAUAUUGCACAAUGGGCGAAAGCCUGAUGCAGCAACGCCGCGUGAGUGAUGAAGGCCUUCGGGUUGUAAAGCUCUGUCUUCUGGGACGAUAAUGACGGUACCAGAGGAGGAAGCCACGGCUAACUACGUGCCAGCAGCCGCGGUAAUACGUAGGUGGCAAGCGUUGUCCGGAUUUACUGGGCGUAAAGGAUGCGUAGGCGGAUACUUAAGUCAGAUGUGAAAAUCCCGGGCUUAACUUGGGAACUGCAUUUGAAACUGGGUAUCUAGAGUGCGGGAGAGGACAGUGGAAUUCCUAGUGUAGCGGUGAAAUGCGUAGAGAUUAGGAAGAACACCAGUGGCGAAGGCGACAUUCUGGACCGUAACUGACGCUGAGGCAUGAAAGCGUGGGGAGCAAA
rnacentral:rRNA from 1 species